rnacentral:rRNA from 1 species
AGUGAACGCUGGCGGUAGGCCUAACACAUGCAAGUCGAACGGCAGCACAGGAGAGCUUGCUCUCUGGGCGGCGAGUGGCGGACGGGUGAGGAAUACAUCGGAAUCUACUUUUUCGUGGGGGAUAACGUAGGGAAACUUACGCUAAUACCGCAUACGACCUACGGGUGAAAGCAGGGGACCUUCGGGCCUUGCGCGAUUGAAUGAGCCGAUGUCGGAUUAGCUAGUUGGCGGGGUAUAGGCCCACCAAGGCGACGAUCCGUAGCUGGUCUGAGAGGAUGAUCAGCCACACUGGAACUGAGACACGGUCCAGACUCCUACGGGAGGCAGCAGUGGGGAAUAUUGGACAAUGGGCGCAAGCCUGAUCCAGCCAUACCGCAUGGGUGAAGAAGGCCUUCGGGUUGUAAAGCCCUUUUGUUGGGAAAGAAAUCCAGCUGGCUAAUACCCGGUUGGGAUGACGGUACCCAAAGAAUAAGCACCGGCUAACUUCGUGCCAGCCGCCGCGGUAA